CUCUACAGUAAUAAUAUGGAGUUAAGAAAAUUAGCUUCGUAUACAUACAUGCAUUUCAUUCCAUACCCAAAUCGUCUUAGACCUCUCCUCUUAGCCUGUAAAGACAAAGCAUCAAUAUCUAAAACCCAUGCUCUCAUGCUCUUGACCGGCCUCUUCAUGCAUCGAAGCUCCAAUGGUGGACUCAUCGCGUCCUACGCAAAUAUAGGCGACAUUAAAUCUGCCCGAAAAGUGUUUGAUGUAUUGCCUCAAAGAGGCAUAGGUGCAUGGAAUGCCAUGAUCAUUGCGUAUUCGCGUAUAGAGUACCCAGUUGAAGUUCUGAAUUUAUAUCGUCAAAUGAUUUUGGAAGGUGUUAGACCCGAUAGCUCAACUUUCACGGUGGCCCUCAAGGCGUGCACGAGGUAGUUGGAUUUGAAAACAGGGGAGGAAAUUUGGGGUAGAGCGAUGGAUAGUGGGUUUGAGUUUGAUGUGUUUGUUGGAUCUUCUGUUUUGAAUUUGUAUGCAGAGUGUGGGAAGAUGGAUGAAGCGAUCGUGGUCUUUGACAGGAUGCCGAGAAGGGAUCUUGUUUGUUGGACAACUAUGAUAAGUGGGUUUGCGCAGAGUGGGCGGCCAAUUGAAGCGGUUGAUAUGUAUAGGCGAAUGCAAAAGGAAGGAAUGGAAGGAGAUGGGGUUGUGAUGGUGGGUUUGACACAGGCUUGUGCAAAUCUUGGGGACUUAAAAUUGGGUCUUUCUGUUCAUGGGUAUUUGAUUAGGAAGGAUCUUCCUAUGGAUGUUGUAGUUCAAACUAGCCUCGUGGAUAUGUAUGCCAAGAAUGGACAUUUGAAGCUUGCUUGUCAUGUUUUCAAGAAUAUGCCUUGUAAGAAUGUCAUAUCUUGGGGUGCACUGAUAUCUGGCUUUGCUCAAAAUGGUUUUGCAGGGAAUGCACUUGAUUUAUUGGUAGAGAUGCAGGGUUGUGGAUACAGACCAGAUUUAGUGUCUCUUGUGAGUGCACUUCUAGCAUGUACCCAAGUUGGGUUUUUGAAAUUGGGUAAAUCUGUACACGGAUAUAUUGUGAGAAGGCUUGAUUUUGAUAGAGUUUUAGGUACUGCAGUGAUUGACAUGUAUUCAAAAUGUGGAGAACUUUCUUGGGCACGCACUCUCUUUGAUCUGAUAAACUCCAAAGAAAUGCAAUGAUAACCAGCUAUGGAAUUCAUGGGCAUGGAAAAGAAGCUCUGUCACUCUUCCUAGAGAUGACAAAAACAAAUCUAAAACCAGAUCAUGCUACUUUUUCUUCCCUUCUCUCGGCCUUCAGUCACUCAGGUCUUGUGGAAGAAGGUCAAUACUGGUUUAAUCGUAUGGUUAGUGAAUAUAAGGUCCAUCCAACUGAAAAGCAUUAUGUUUGUAUGGUUGAUCUUUUGGCUCGUGCAGGUCGAGUUGAAGAGGCUUGCAAGCUAAUAGAUUCCAUGAAUGCUGAAUCAGGGCUUGCUGUUUGGGUUGCUCUCCUGGCAGGUUGCUGCAAAAAUGGCAAGUUGUUGAUUGGAGAGAUGGCCGCAAAGAAGGUUCUUGAGUUAAAUCCAGAUGACUUGGGAAUUUAUUCUUUGGUCUCAAACUACUAUGCAAAGGCGAGGAAGUGGGAUGAUGUAGCUAGUGUUAGAAAAAUCAUGAAAAAGACGGGGAUGAAGAAAGUGCCAGGGUAUAGUGUAGUGGAAGUGAAAGGAAAACUUCAUGCUUUUCUUAUGGAAGAUAAGAGCCAUCAUCAAUAUGAGAAUAUGAUGCAACUUUUGGAUAAGUUGGAUCAUGAAAUGAGGGCUAUUGGAUAUGUCCCAAAGACUGAAUUUGUGUUGCAUUCCCUUGAUGAGGAAGUCAAAGAAAAAAUGUUAUGUAAUCACAGCGAGAGGCUUGCUAUUGCUUUUGGUCUCUUAAACACAGGGCCUGGAACCAGAUUACUGAUCAUAAAGAACCUUAGGGUGUGUGGGGAUUGCCAUGAAGCAACCAAGUUCAUUACGAAAAUUGUGAACAGAGAGAUUGUUGUGAGGGAUGUGAAGCAAUUUUGUCACUUCAAGAAUGGGAUCUGCUCAUGUGGUGACUACUGGUGAAGCCAAUGUGCAUAGAUUUCCUUUCUCUUUGCUGGAUUUUUCACAGCUGGGGUGUUGAAAUAUCAGGGUAGGAUCUGACAUCUCUUUAGGAAAGCAAGUUGCUAAUAUUAUAAUGGGUAAUGGAAGAGACGAGCAAGCUAACAUCACAAUUGCAUACUACUACCUUUAAGGUGUGUAUAGAUACAGCUUGGUAACCAGUACAAUGCUUUGAGAUGGUCCCAUCCAACAUAUCCAUAUCCAGCUGGGUUGCUGGCAGAAUUUGGAUGCAGAUUGUUGAAAGGAUUUACUUAUGAUUGGAAUGCCAAAGAAAAGGACUUGGGGGGUUUUUUUUAAUCCAAAUGUCUUCCUGCAUGCUUAGCACCAACAAGACUGAUUUGCCUCCAACAGUUCCGGUGAAUUGACAUGGCUCUCCUAUGUAAUAUGUGGAUCACUUCCAGAUUGGUUGAAUCAAUGCAGUUGCAUUGAAGCUUCAAUUGCUAGCUGUUGCCUAAGCUUGACAGUGCAGAAGUGCGGGCUUUAUCACUACAUGGCCUUUUUAUCAGAUAAUUGGGGUCUCAUUUGUCAAUUGAUGUUUGAUAACAGAGAAAGAAAUAAGCAAAAUUGUAAUGGUGAAGCAAGACCUAGUAGAACUAGAAGCUGUGAUGAGAUAUUUCAACCUGAAAGAGAAUACCAUCGAUCCCACGCUUAAAGACAAUGGAAAAUGAGUUGUAGAAUAACCUUCCUCUACUUGCACUGCCACCUUCAUUAGUUCUGAGCUCUUUAUUUCUAAGUUACUGGUGUGUCAUCCACCCUCUAGUCCUCUGUCAAAGAUUUAUUUAAAAUAGCUCAUUUAUUUCCUCUUUUCUUUGUGAUUUGACUUUUCCACAGGUAACUUCAACUCAUAUUAGCAUUGCCCCUUUUUUUUUUUUUCUUUUUCUUUUUUUCAAAUUUCUGAGGAUGAAUACUUUAACAGUUAGCAGAAAUUUAUACCAAAUUUAUGUAUUUCCUAUAUUUAAGUUUCUUGUCAAUCAAUUUUCCAAAGUUGCAUGCCUAUAUGAUAUUGUACCUAGUUAUCCUUUGUUUGGAUGAAAAUAAAUAAGUUAUUAAGAACAGAUGCAGCACAAAGCCACACACAACAUACUUGUAUCAACAACAAAAUAACUAGACAUGAUACAGACAAAUUCAAAGAAGAACAAAAUUCUCGUCACAAAUCCUAGCUUGUCCUAAUUAUAUCUUGACUCUUACUAGGACAUCAACUACAAUCACACCAGCAUCUAGAAUAGACAUAACAAAUGAAGCAUGAAACACAACCGCCCUAUUGCAUAGGACUCCCUGGCUUCACUUGGAGAACAAAUAAUGGAAUAUUCUUACUUAGGGUCUGUUUGGAUACUGCUUAUUUUGCUGCAAACUGAAAACUUAUUGCUGAAAAUAUUGUAGCAAAAUAAUUUUUUAAAGGCAAAACACUGUAGCAAAACCCAUGGUUACGUUUUUCAGUUCUUGGUGGUUUGUGAACAAUACCUAUGGGACCUACUAAAAAAAUGCAAAUCGCGCAUGAUGCACAAACAUCCUCUCCCAAACGCAUGCUUAUUACGCAGAAAUCUAGACAUGCUAGUGAAGAAGGUAGCUCUAAUAACCUACCUUAUGCAAAGACGGUAUAGCUUCCUAAUAUUAUUGAAAGAUUCAUGCCAAGUUUGGGAAAUUUGAUUGGGAUUUUAAGCACACAAGAUGACUCUGAUUAUGAGAAAUACUAGUGAAAAAUGGUAGCUUUGGCAAAUCCGAAGGCUAAUAAACUUUAUUCUCUGAAUUUUUUGUAUGUCACCAUCUUGCCUCCUUUCACAUAUCUUGGUAGAUGCAUAUACAUAUACAUACAUAUAUAUAUACACUAUUCAUUGGCAUAUACUUGAAUUUCUUUUUACGUGCCGUUCUUCUUCGCUAUUUCUGAGCCUAGAUGAUAUGACGAGUGAAGUCCAAAAAUUGGUAGUAUGUGUUUCUUCAAACUGCAGGACAUGCUCUUCUUGUAAAUAUAUAUCCUUUUCUUGAUGUGGGGUUUUACAGGUUUUGGGAAGGAUUUAGACAGUACAUGAGUAAGUUUGGUGAAUUGGAAAAUGUAACAUUGGUGAUGAAGGUACUGUGAACAAUUCCUGUACAUGAUUUUUUCUAUUAUAAAUUUUUUGCUUAAGGAUACUGUAAUUUUUGGUUUUCAUGUUCUAUGUUCAUCCUCUGUUCAUGCAAAUUUUUUUUUUUUUGCUAGUUAAUCCUCUCAUUUCUUGCUAGGAGACUUAAUUUUUUAUAAUAUUUUACCCUCCUAGCCUGCAAGAACUUAAAUUUACUUGGUUUUGGUAAAAUUAUUCCAUACAAAUGAGAAUUAUAGGUUGAUGAUUACCUAAGUUCCUACCUACUUCACUAAGCUAGAAACUAAUAUUUUACAGGCAUUGGUUUGAUGAGCAAUUAUUGUUUGACCGUUAGUUUCUAGUUUCUUUCAUGAAUCACAUUUUCCAGAUUUUCUGUAUAUUGGAUGGUGGGUUCCUUCAGCUUGGUGACUAAUUGGUUUCUGCUAUGGUAGCAAAAUUGCCAAACAAGAUGUUCUCAUGGAUUUGGCUUUGUCCCAUUUAGCACUUCAGAAGAUCCUUAGUUGAACAUACCCAUAAUGAAAGGAAACUUGAGGUUCAAGUUGCUACUCAAAGGCAAGUUUUGUUCCUUGCUUAAAAGAAUUCUUUUCUUCAAAUUGAUUACCAUCUUGAGGUGGUACCUCCUAUAUUGCGUUCCAAAUCUUUAGUUUUACAGCUUGAAGUUCCCAUUGUCUUGUGAUUAAAUUUUAUAAAGAAAACAAAGACAGCAUAUAGACUGUUUAUAUUUGGAUGAUUGGACAUGACAGAUGAUGGAUCUUUUAUCUGUCUUGCCUCAGUCGGCAGAAUGUGAUUAAUUGUAUUUGUUUAAGUUUCAUCCCUUUGGAUCCAAAAAAAUAUUGCAUAUUUCUUUGAGUUCAAUUAAAAUUGAUGUGCACAUGUAGAGAAAAUUCUUUGUCUAUCAAUUCCAAUGAGUUGGUGUAUAUUUUAAAAUUGUUUGUUGCUUGUCAAUUGUCAUUUAUUAAUUCCAUAAGAUGGAGGUAAGCAUCGAUAUCCUUAAAAAUUUCUCCCAUCUGCACCCCACUUUAUGGGUCUCUUUGCAGUUAUUUUUGUUUUGAAUGCAGCAAAAUUCUUUUCUUGGCUCAUCCUUUGUAAAAUUAUCAUAUACUAGAGUUGUGCCCAUUUUUGUGUUUUGUUUUUAAAUGAAAUAAUUAUGCAAUAAAUUAGUUUUCUCUUAUUUGUUGGUUGUUUGUAAGUUGGGGUUUGGGAUAUGAGUAUGUGGUUUCUUAUGCAUAUAAAUCUCUUUACUAAUUUUUUUUAUGUGUAUUGGCCAUACCUAGUAGUGAUCCAACUAACAUAAGGUGCUAGAAGCAGAAAUCUAGAAAUGUCUCUAACUGAGAGAGAUUUUUAUGAGUAACACUAUGAUUAUAUAUAAUAUUAAGAAGAUUUAUAUAAUUUAAUUAAGAUUUAUUUGGUAGCCAAUUCUUGAUAGUACUUAUGUGUUAUUAGAUGAAAAUAUGUAUUUAAUACAAAUUGAUGUUAAAAGCCAAAAUACAUUUCACCUGUAUACAAUAUGCAACAAAGCUUGCCUAGAAUCAUCUGCUCAUAGCACAAUUACAGUCUGAAAUAGCCAACCAUUUAUUUGCAGAAGAGUAAAGAACCUAUGACCCUGGUUUUGUACUAAAUUAUCUUUGCAUUACUCUAAAUCAAUACAUAUGUGUUUAAACUUGAUUGGUCUGUUGUUUUGUUCCCAAGUUUGCUUUGCUUUUUUUUAUAUGUAACUUAUGUUUAUUAGCUAUAGAAAGAAAAAAGAGGGGAAAAAAACUUAGGCAGCUGGUAGACAAAAUCUAUAGCUGCUUUGAAAUUGAAAAUUAAUUAGUUAUACUUCAAAUAAUUAUAAAUCAUGCUCCUUGGUUUUUGUAAUUGAGUUUUAAGAGUAAAAUCUACGUGGAUGAAGUAUUGCCUCUUUGUCUUCACUUCCACUAUGCUGAUAUAUUGUGAGAAGCUUGAGUUUCUUUCAAAAUAUAGCAAUUUUGGUGGAACAACCAUAAUAACCCAUGUUAACUUAUAAAAUUCUCUCUCCAUUCUCUCUCUCUAUUCUCUUGAUGCUGGCUCAUAGGUAUCAAUAAUGACCAAUUUGUUAUAAAGACCAACAAGUUACCUCUUACUGGAGAACUUUCUCUAUUUAUAUUUUAAUGUUGCAACAUGUAAGUCUAUGACAGAGAAUUUAUUCAAAAGAAAGUAUAAAAGAUACAAUGCUAAAGAAAAACUAGCCAUAAGUGGACCUCCAUUUUGGAUACAAUAAGAAACAAAGGAAAGUAUAACUUAAAAGGAGAAGAAAACAGCAUAAACGAACAAAAAUAGUACCAAGACCUGACAGAGAAUUUAUUCAAAAGAGAGUAUAAAAGAUACAGUGCUAAAGAAAAAAUAGCCUUGAGUGGACCUCCAUUAAAACAGCAUAAACGAACAAAAAUAGUACCAAGACCAAUGAAGUCCAUAUAAAAUCUCAGCAGUGAGUGCACUGCUCUUGGCCAGAAAGCCCACCUGCUUUUUACAAUAGAUUGAAAAUAUUGUAUAAGCUCAAGUGUAUAAGCUUAGUAUGUUUCUAUGCUAAAAUCCUGUCCUAAGUGAUGAUCAUCUACAUUGAUGAUAUGUUUCCUUAUGUCAUGGUAGAAUGGGUUAUUACAAUAUAAUUCGUUGGUUGUUUAUUGCUAAAAAUACUAAUAAAAUUAUCAAGAAAAACUCCAUUUUCACCUGACAGCUUUUACCCAUAUCUUUUAAUGGAUUUUUAUGGUAAAGAGAUAUUUUGUUUGCAUUUUUCGAUUUUAUAUUGUAUUAUACAGCUCUAGCUGUUUGGCUUGGAUGAUGAUAUAGUUAAUAUAAUAAUACUUAUUCACUCUAUGGGGUAUGUAGUUGGCUUUUGCCUUGCCAUUAUAUUCCCAAGAUGAUUUUGUAGUUUCAUGGGAUAAUCCUUUGAAAUUGAAAUUUAUUAUAUUUUCAUGAGAAAGAGCUGUCUCUUAUUUACUUAUCCACAGAACAUUAACUCACUGUUUUCCAAAGGAAGAAAUAGUACUUCCAAGUGUUGUUCUUGAGUUUUUGUUGCUAGAAUACCUCCAAGUGUCACAGAUGAUGAUAUUUGCAGGUAUCAAAUUAUGUCCUGAUCACAUUCACCACCUCUUCUUGUUGCAAUUAGCAAUAUCUAGCAAGUUUUUGUUGCUAGAAUACCUCCAAGUGUCACAGAUGAUGAUAUUUGCAGGUAUCAAAUUAUGUCCUGAUCACAUUCACCACCUCUUCUUGUUGCAAUUAGCAAUAUCUAGCAAAUCCAAAUGCUUUUACAGCUGCUUGCAUCACUAAUUAACACUGUGGGAUUGUAAAAUAAUUAAAAUUUGAUGGAUAGUUGAUGAUUGUUGCAGUUACUUUAUGAAUUAAGCUCCAGUUUUAGAUGCUUACAUACUGAAACUAUACAAUAUCCUGUUAACUGUAACAGAGACGAGUGUUUUUUGUGUUUUUGACAUUUUUCUUUCAGGUUUAACAAUUACUUACACUUUUAAAGUUGCUUGCAUUCCAGGAUCCAGUGACAAAACAACGAAUUGGAAUUGGAGUCGAAAUGUAUAGAGAAAUGUAGAAAGUGCAGCUAGAGUUUUAUAAAGUUUUUGUAUUCUGGUUUUAUUCAGGUGAAUUUGUAGAAAACAUAUAGUGUUAAUUUAAUUAAGAGAUUUUAAACUAA